CAACGCCGCGUGGAGGAUGAAGCCCCUUGGGGUGUAAACUCCUUUCGAUCGGGGAGAUAAUGACGGUACCGAUAUAAGAAGCCCCGGCUAACUUCGUGC
rnacentral:rRNA from 1 species